AUAUGUAUAUGUAUAUAAAUAGUAGAAUUAUUUUGUUAUUUGUUUAAACAAAAUUACCUUUUUUAUAAGCAACAGUAUUCGUUUUUUACUUAUAUCUUUCAAUUAUUAUUAUUAUUACAAUAAAUAUACACAUUGUGAUAAUAAUAAAAGAUCUUCAGAUAAUUAAAAGUCAGAAUAUUCACAAUGUUUAGUAGACUAUAACAAGUAAAGUAUAAAGCUUUAAAAUGCAUUUAUUCAAGAAGUCUAUAAUGGAUCCAAGUCCACAACUUGUGUCAGCGAUUCCAAUCAAACACAUUGAUGAAGUACUAGAAAUUACAAAUAAAAUUCACUACGAUAUGAAAGAAUUCCAUUCAGAAAUUGAUUUAUCAAAGCAAAUACCCGAAGGUAUACAUCGAUUAACACCUUCAUUCAAUUCUCAAAAUGAUUUUUUUACAUGGGGGAAAAGAGUAGGACGUAAAUUGAAUCAAAUGAAAAAAGCCGGUAGCACUGAAUUGCUGUCAAAAUCUGGACGGAAAUAUCAUUGGAGCCCAAAUCGAACGAAUCACAAUGGAUGUAAUGAAAUUCAACUAAAUAGUUCAUGCAGCUCACCGAAAUCGCAAAAAAUAUCAAGAGUAGAAUCAUUGCGUAACUUACUGAAGAUUGGUGAACGUAAUAAUAAAAAUGACAAGAAUGAUGAUUUGUCCAGAACUAUUUCCAAUGAAAUGAUAGAUACUAAUACAGAUUUAUCACUGUAUCGUAUGAAUAAAACUCUUAGUGACAGUGCUUUGAGAACAACUAAGAUAAAUAAUUUAAAAAAUAUUCAAUCGAGAUCAUUACUAAGUGCAAAAAAAGAUCAUCUUAGUCGUGCUAUUAGUGAUUUACAAGAGCAACACAGAGUUUUGGACUAUUUUUUGAAUCAUCAUGAACUUCUGAAAACACAAGAAGGCACCAAAUUUAUUCAAGAGACAUUAAUUAAAUUAGAAACAAAGACUAGUUUAAAACGACGACUAAGUUUGGAAGCAUUGAAUUCUGAUGGCUGUGAAGUUGCUAAACAAAAUUGCAAUAAGUUAUUAAAACAUGUUAAGAAAAAUUUAUUUAAAUUAAAGGAAAGUAAUCACAAUAACUCUAACAAAGAAAAAAGCAAUAAAUUACAAAAAGAAGUUCCCAAAUCAAGAUUAGAAGAUUUAUUGAACAGUUUACGACUUGGCAAUGAAGAGAAUGGUUAUGAUACUGAUAGUUUUCGAACUGGUACUGAUUCUCUUGAUAAUGAACAAGUUACUCGAAAACCGCAAAGUUCUUCUUUAACGUCAGUAAAUUUUCCAAGUAUUGACUUGUCAUUAAACAAUCUUACUCAAUCAUCAAUUAACUUAGAAAGCACAUCUAUUAAAGAGAAUGAAAAUUAUCAUCAAUUGGAUGAUAUUCACAACUCAUCUGUUAACACAGAUGCUUCUACUACGAUGAUUGAAGCCGACACAAAUGAUAGUGAUAAUGAUGAUAACAAUAAUUUUGAAGCAUUUAUUAAUAGCCGAGUUAAUGUUUCUUUUUCAGAUCAAGAGUCAAUGUCAACUCAAAGUAAUCUGUUUAUAAGUAAUAAAAAUAGUUCAAAGAGCUUAACAGAUUUGAACAAAACGCCUGAAAAAAAUCCAACUUUCUGUCAAACUGCACAUUUAAGUUUGACUAGGAAAUUUAAAAAACGAUCCUUGCCUACAUUAAAUGAUAUUACGUCUUAUAAAUGUCGAAUGAAAUUACAAAACUUUCAUGAGAACAUGAAAAUUAAAUCAAGAAACAAGAAGUUAUCGCAGCACAGUAUAUUGAGUCUUCUUGAUAAUGCUGUAUCACCUGGUAAAGAUAGUCCACCUGCAACAAAAGUCAAAUCUAUUAUGCCAAUAAACAAUAUUGAAUACUAUAAUCCUAAAAGAUCUCGAUCUAAAAUGGAAUCAGAAACAUCGGAUACCGUGUCACCUAACAGAGUUAAAAGACCAAUGUUUGCAAUUCCAAAUUCUCUACCAAUAUCAUCAAAGCUUUUAAAUCAUCGAGAGUUAAAAUUUAUUAAAUUAUUUAUUAAACAACCAGGAAAUUUAGGAAUUUUCGUUGAAAGACAAGAAGCUGCUAAACCUUUCUUUAUUAUAACUAAAAUUGAUCCUAAUGGAGAAGCAGCAAAAUCUAAACAAAUCCAAAUUGGAGACGAAAUUGUUCGUAUCAGUGGAAGGAGAUUACGAGGGAUGUCUAUUCAAGAAGCUAGAACUGCAUUGAAGAAUUGUGUUGGUCAAAUCGAACUUCAAAUAGCUAGAGAACCUCGUCUCGUUUUACGAGAUGAAUUUGAUGAUGCUUGGAGAGAUUCUUUGAAACGAACUAAAAGCGAUUCCGAUGUUUGGACAAUCAAAAAUUUGACAUUCGAUGAUGUUAAUAAGGAAACAGCUCAAUUAAAUGAUACACCUAAAGACAUAGAAAUGAGAUGUGAUUUAAAUAAAAGUAAAACAACUACGAAUGUUGUGAAUUCAAUAGGAGGUAGUGAUAAUGAAAAAAUUAAUGAUGAUUCAUCUCCAAAAAUGACUGGGAUGCGUAAAUUUCAUGUUAUCAAAAAACGUGCUUCUAAGACAAAUCUUUUAUUACGUCAAUCAAGUAAUUCUCAGAUGGAAUUAUUGACUAUUACACUAGAAAAGGGUGCUUCAAAAAAACUAGGAUUUUCUAUUGUUGGAGGAUCUGAUAGUUCGAUAGGAAACAUAGGGAUUUUUGUUAAAGAUAUUAUUGAAGAUGGUCAAGCUGCUGAAGAAGGAACCUUGAAGAUUGGAGAUGAGAUCUUAGCCAUCAAUGGUCAACCUGUUACUGGUCUUACACAUGCUAAAGCGUUGCAAAUCUUUAAAGCUGCUAAACCAGGAAAAAUGAUCAUACAAAUUGGCAGAAGAGAUUUAUCACACAAACGGUUGGAUGGGUGAUUUACGAAUCAUCAUUAGUCAUUCUAGUUCAUUAACCUUUGUUUUGAAUGACGUAUUAGAGGUGACAGAAAUUCACCCCAUCUCUUGAAGAUGAUUCUUUAUAAGAAAAAGUGGAUAUUAAAUCUGAAAAGAAAAAUUAAAUUUCAUUUUCUGGGGAGAAAUUGUAUUCAAAUGAUAUCAAAAAAGGCAUAAAAUAAUAUUUGUGGGAGAUUGAUAAUUGGAAGAAGUAACGAUUUUGCUUUUACUUUAUAAAUAUAUAAUUAUCUGAAAAAUGUGAUAUACAAUUAAUAUAUCUAAUGAUCUGUAAUGUUUUACAUUGAACAAUUAAGAACGAGGAUUUGAAGUAAGAAUUGAAUGAAGAAUUAAGUUACCUGGUGAGUACGGCGGUAAAUAUGUAGCAGGAGGUGGAGCAAUACGUGGUGGACUCGGUGCAGGUAUUGCUACAGAGGGUGAUGGCAAUGAAAAUGGAAUUUUUGGACGUUCAUAGUUAUAUCCAGCUUGUCUACUGGCUCUAUGAUGACAAUUUGAAGUGUUGGCCAAUAAAAUUAAUAUUGCCAACUAUAAGAAGUAAUUAAUUAAUUUUUAUAAUAUAAUCAAAUUGAUUUUCAAGCUUAUUUAUCUAAGACUUACCCAUCGGAACAGCAACAUAAUUUGUUCUUCAUUAGAAAAGUAACGCUGCUUCUUCCUUUAUAUAUGGGCUUUGCGUUCUUAAAUUGUAAAAGAUCUGUCAUUCUGUAACCGCAAACUUGAUGA
rnacentral:misc_RNA from 1 species